UACGGAGGAUCCGAGCGUUAUCCGGAUUUAUUGGGUUUAAAGGGUGCGUAGGCGGACUGUCAAGUCAGCGGUGAAAGUGCAUGGCUCAACCAUGUAAUUGCCGUUGAAACUGUCGGUCUUGAGUGUAGAUGAGGUGGGCGGAAUUCGUAGUGUAGCGGUGAAAUGCUUAGAUAUUACGAAGAACUCCGAUUGCGUAGGCAGCUCACUAGGCUACAACUGACGCUGAGGCACGAAGGUGCGGGGAUCAAAC
rnacentral:rRNA from 1 species